rnacentral:sRNA from 1 species
CCUUUGUACACACCGCCCGUCGCUACUACCGAUUGAAUGGCUCAGUGAGGCGUUCGGACUGGCUCGGGGAGGUUGGCAACGACCACCCCAAGCCGGAAAGUUCGUCAAACUCGGUCAUUUAGAGGAAGUAAAAGUCGUAACAAGGUCUCCGUAGGUGAACCUGCGGAGGGAUCAUUACACAACAAAAUAUGAAGGCCUGGCUUUGCGGCCGGCUGAAAUAUUUUUUUCACCCAUGUCUUUUGCGCACUUGUUGUUUCCUGGGCGGGUUCGCCCGCCACCAGGACCAAACCAUAAACCUUUUUUUUAUGCAGUUGCAAUCAGCGUCAGUAUAAACAAUGUAAUUAUUACAACUUUCAACAACGGAUCUCUUGGUUCUGGCAUCGAUGAAGAACGCAGCGAAAUGCGAUACGUAGUGUGAAUUGCAGAAUUCAGUGAAUCAUCGAAUCUUUGAACGCACAUUGCGCCCUUUGGUAUUCCAAAGGGCAUGCCUGUUCGAGCGUCAUUUGUACCCUCAAGCUUUGCUUGGUGUUGGGCGUUUUUGUCUCCCUCUUUGCUGGGAGACUCGCCUUAAAACGAUUGGCAGCCGGCCUACUGGUUUCGGAGCGCAGCACAUAUUUUGCACUCUGUAUCAGGAGAAAAGGACGGUAAUCCAUCAAGACUCUUACGAUUUUUAACUUUUGACCUCGGAUCAGGUAGGGAUACCCGCUGAACUUAAGCAUAUCAUA